AUGCAAGUCGAACGGGAUAUUUCGUGUAGCAAUACAUGGAAUGUCUAGUGGCGUAAGGGUGCGUAACACGUGGGCAAUCUGCCGAGAAGUGGGGGAUAGCUCGCCGAAAGGCGAAUUAAUACCGCAUGUGGUUAGCGAAGGAGUCUUCGCGACACCAAAGCCGGGGCAACCUGGCGCUUCUUGAUGAGCCCGCGGCCUAUCAGCUUGUUGGCGGGGUAACGGCCCACCAAGGCUAUGACGGGUAGCUGGUCUGAGAGGACGACCAGCCACACUGGAACUGAGACACGGUCCAGACACCUACGGGUGGCAGCAGUCGAGAAUUUUUCUCAAUGGGGGAAACCCUGAAGGAGCGACGCCGCGUGGAGGAUGAAGGUCUUCGGAUUGUAAACUCCUGUCAUUAGGGAACAAUUGUCGUCGGUUAACUGCCGACGGCUUGAUAGUACCUGAAGAGGAAGAGACGGCUAACUCUGUGCCAGCAGCCGCGGUAAUACAGAGGUCUCAAGCGUUGUUCGGAUUCAUUGGGCGUAAAGGGUGCGUAGGUGGCGGGGUAAGUCGGAUGUGAAAUCCCGGGGCUCAACCCCGGAACUGCAUUCGAUACUGCCUUGCUCGAGUACUGGAGAGGAGAUUGGAAUUUACGGUGUAGCAGUGAAAUGCGUAGAUAUCGUAAGGAAGACCAGUGGCGAAGGCGAAUCUCUGGACAGUUACUGACACUGAGGCACGAAGGCCAGGGGAGCAAACGGGAUUAGAUACCCCGGUAGUCCUGGCAGUAAACGGUGCGCGUUUGGUGUGGGAGGAUUCGACCCCUUCCGUGCCGGAGCUAACGCGUUAAACGCGCCGCCUGGGGAGUACGGUCGCAAGAUUAAAACUCAAAGAAAUUGACGGGGGCCCGCACAAGCGGUGGAGUAUGUGGCUUAAUUCGAUGCAACGCGAAGAACCUUACCUAGCCUUGACAUGCAUCUCUAAGUCGGUGAAAGCCGGCGACUGUCGCAAGACAGAAUUUGCACAGGUGCUGCAUGGCUGUCGUCAGCUCGUGUC
rnacentral:rRNA from 1 species